rnacentral:rRNA from 1 species
GACGAACGCUGGCGGCGUGCUUAACACAUGCAAGUCGAACGGAAAGGCUCCUGCUUGCCGGGGUACUCGAGUGGCGAACGGGUGAGUAACACGUGGGUGAUCUGCCUUGUACUCUGGGAUAAGCUUGGGAAACUGGGUCUAAUACCGGAUAAUAACUGCCUUUAGUGUGGUGGUUGGAAAGUUUUUUCGGUGCAAGAUGAGCUCGCGGCCUAUCAGCUUGUUGGUGGGGUAAUGGCCUACCAAGGCGUCGACGGGUAGCCGGCCUGAGAGGGUGUACGGCCACAUUGGGACUGAGAUACGGCCCAGACUCCUACGGGAGGCAGCAGUGGGGAAUAUUGCACAAUGGGCGGAAGCCUGAUGCAGCGACGCCGCGUGGGGGAUGACGGCCUUCGGGUUGGAAACUCCUUUCGACAGGGACGAAGCUUUUUGUGACGGUACCUGUAUAAGAAGCACCGGCUAACUACGUG